GCCUCGCAAAGUCCUGGGAUUACAGGCGUGAGCUACUGGGCCUGACCUACAAAAUGUUUUAUGCUUUCGGCCUAAAUAGUGUUCCUUGGAGAGAAAAUUACCCUGGGAAUGAAUAAACAAGAGCAAUGCAAAUGUUUCUUUUACAUUAGAUUCUUGCAGCCCUGGAAAUCCUAAAUAAUAAUCAUGGCAAUACUACAUUUAUAAGACUAAAAGAUAGGAACUCAAGAAAAAUUUGGUCAUAGCAGUUGGUGAAAAAGUGAAUUUAAGAGAAGUGACAAAAAGAACUACUUGGGAUUCAGCAUCUAGUCCAGGUUCAUUGCUGGGCAUUAUUAAGAAAAAAAUAUCAAAAUUGGAAUUAAUGGAUAAUAU
rnacentral:lncRNA from 1 species